AAGGAUACUUUUGUGCCUUACAGAAAUUCAAAGCUGACUUUCUUAUUGCAGAACUGCUUAGGGGGAAACAGUAAAACGCUGAUGUUUGUGAACAUUUCACCAAAGAACAGCAGCUUUGGUGAAUCUCUCAACUCGCUGAGAUUUGCUAGCAAGGUGAAUGAAUGUGUGAUUGGGACAGCAGUUGCCAACAGAAAAUGAGUGUUCGAUACUUUUACUUUUGUAAAUAGAAAAAUCACAUUUUAUGUAGCCAUUUUUGUAUUUUAAAACAAUCUCUUUUGUAUACAUUUUAUACAUAAAAA